rnacentral:rRNA from 1 species
GCGGUGGAGCAUGUGGUUUAAUUCGAAGCAACGCGAAGAACCUUUACCAGGUCUUGACAUCCCGAUGCUAUUUCUAGAGAUAGAAAGUUACUUCGGUACAUCGGUGACAGGUGGUGCAUGGUUGUCGUCAGCUCGUGUCGUGAGAUGUUGGGUUAAGUCCCGCAACGAGCGCAACCCCUACGUUUAGUUGCUAACGCGUGAAGGCGAGCACUCUAGACGAACUGCCGUUGACAAAACGGAGGAAGGUGGGAUGACGUCAAAUCAUCAUGCCCCUUAUGUUCUGGGCUACACACGUGCUACAAUGGCCGGUACAGACGGACGCAAAGCCGCGAGGUGGAGCAAAUCCUAAAAAGCCGGUCUCAGUUCGGAUUGCAGGCUGCAAUUCGCCUGCAUGAAGUCGGAAUCGCUAGUAAUCGCAGGUCAGCAUACUGCGGUCGAAUACGUUCCCGGGCCUU